AUUGAACGCUGGCGGCAGGCUUAACACAUGCAAGUCGAGCGAGCGGCGGACGGGUGAGUAAUGUCUGGGAAACGGCCUGAUGGAGGGGGAUAACUACUGGAAACGGUAGCUAAUCCCGCAUACCAUCAGAUGUGCCCAGAUGGGAUUAGCUAGUGGGUGGGGUAAUGGCUCACCUAGGCGACGAUCCCUAGCUGGUCUGAGAGGAUGACCAGCCACACGGGAACUGAGACACGGCCCAGACUCGUACGGGAGGCAGCAGUGGGGAAUAUUGCACAAUGGGCGCAAGCCGGAUGCAGCCAUGCCGCGUGUAUGAAGAAGGCCUUAGGGUUGUAAAGUACUUUCAGCGGGGAGGCGUUACCCGCAGAAGAAGCACCGGCUAACUCCGUGCCAGCAGCCGCGGUAAUAC
rnacentral:rRNA from 1 species